GGGGAUGACGUCAAGUCCGCAUGGCCCUUAUGGGCUGGGCCACACACGUGCUACAAUGGCAAUGACAAUGGGAAGCAAGGCUGUAAGGCGGAGCGAAUCCGGAAAGAUUGCCUCAGUUCGGAUUGUUCUCUGCAACUCGGGAACAUGAAGUUGAAAUCACUAGUAAUCGCGGAUCAGCAUGCCGCGGUGAAUAUGUACCCGGGCCCUGUACACACCGCCCGUCACACCCUGGGAAUUGGUUUCGCCCGAAGCAUCGGACCAAUGAUCACCCAUGACUUCUGUGUACCACUAG
rnacentral:ncRNA from 1 species